rnacentral:tRNA from 1 species
GGGGCAGACUGUAAAUCUGUUGUCUCAGACUUCGGUGGUUCGAAUCCACCUUUCCCCACCA